CCCUCCCUCUUUCCUCCUGCCUAACACAUGCAAGUCGAACGAGACCUUCGGGUCUAGUGGCGCACGGGUGCGUAACGCGUGGGAACCUGCCCUUAGGUUCGGAAUAACUCCCCGAAAGGGGUGCUAAUACCGGAUAAUGUCUUCGGACCAAAGAUUUAUCGCCUUUGGAUGGGCCCGCGUUGGAUUAGCUAGUUGGUAGGGUAAAAGCCUACCAAGGCGACGAUCCAUAGCUGGUCUGAGAGGAUGAUCAGCCACACUGGGACUGAGACACGGCCCAGACUCCUACGGGAGGCAGCAGUGGGGAAUAUUGGACAAUGGGCGAAAGCCUGAUCCAGCAAUGCCGCGUGAGUGAUGAAGGCCUUAGGGUUGUAAAGCUCUUUUACCCGGGAUGAUAAUGACAGUACCGGGAGAAUAAGCUCCGGCUAACUCCGUG
rnacentral:rRNA from 1 species